ACAGUCACACAUUAGAUACCCGCGUAGUCCCAGCCGUAAACGAUGCGCGUUAGGUGUAUCGGUGACCACGAGUCACCGAGGAGCCGAAGGGAAACCGUGAAACGUGCCGCCUGGGAAGUACGGUCGCAAGGCUGAAACUUAAAGGAAUUGGCGGGGAGCACCACAACGGGUGGAGCCUGCGGUUUAAUUGGACUCAACGCCGGGAAGCUCACCGGAUAAGACAGCGGAAUGAUUGCCGGGCUGAAGACUCUGCAUGACUAGCUG
rnacentral:rRNA from 1 species